CCCCUUCAGAUUUCUUACCCCCAGAUCUAAAUAUUGGUCUGAGAGGCUAAAAAAGGAGGAAAGGUGAAAAACUGAAGUCGACUUGGAGUCUUUAGUGACAUACAAGCUCAUUACAAACAAAG
rnacentral:snoRNA from 1 species